CGCGGGGUAGAGCAGCCCGGUAGCUCGUCAGGCUCAUAACCUGAAGGUCGCAGGUUCAAAUCCUGCCCCCGCAA
rfam:Paracoccus seriniphilus strain DSM 14827 genome assembly, contig: Ga0192381_104